rnacentral:rRNA from 1 species
GACAGAGGGGGCAAGCGUUGCUCGGAAUUACUGGGCGUAAAGGGCGCGUAGGCGGGAUGGCAAGUCGGUCGUGAAAUCCCUCGGCUCAACUGAGGAUCGUCGAUCGAUACUGCCGUUCUUGAGGAUUGCAGAGGAGACUGGAAUUCCCGGUGUAGCGGUGAAAUGUGUAGAGAUCGGGAGGAACACCGGUGGCGAAGGCGGGUCUCUGGGCAAUUCCUGACGCUGAGGCGCGAAAGCGUGGGGAGCGAACAGG